rnacentral:rRNA from 1 species
GUUGAUCCUGGCUUAGGAUGAACGCUAGCGAUAGGCCUAACACAUGCAAGUCGAGGGGCAGCAUAGAGUAGCAAUACUUGAUGGCGACCGGCGCACGGGUGAGUAACACGUAUGCAACCUACCUACAUCAGGGGAAUAACCCGGAGAAAUUCGGACUAAUACCGCAUAAUACAGGGAUGCCGCAUGGCAAUAUUUGUUAAAGAUUUAUCGGAUGUAGAUGGGCAUGCGUUCCAUUAGCUAGUUGGUAAGGUAACGGCUUACCAAGGCAACGAUGGAUAGGGGAACUGAGAGGUUUGUCCCCCACACUGGAACUGAGACACGGACCAGACUCCUACGGGAGGCAGCAGUGAGGAAUAUUGGUCAAUGGACGAGAGUCUGAACCAGCCAAAUCGCGUGAAAAGGAAGACUGCCCUACGGGUUGUAAACUUCUUUUGUACAGGAAUAAAAGACAUUACGUGUAAUGUAUUGCAUGUACUGUACGAAUAAGCAUCGGCUAACUCCGUGCCAGCCGCCGC